AAAAUACGGGAGGCAGCAGUGGGGAAUAUUGCACAAUGGACGGAAGUCUGAUGCAGCAACGCCGCGUGCGGGAUGACGGCCUUCGGGUUGUAAACCGCUUUCAAUUGUGACGAAGCUUUUUGUGACGGUAGCAGUAGAAGAAGCACCGGCUAACUACGUGCCAGCAGCCGCGGUAAUUUUU
rnacentral:rRNA from 1 species